ACGAACGCUGGCGGCGUGCUUAACACCUGCAAGUCGAACGGAAAGGCCCUGCUUUUGUGGGGUGCUUGAGUGGCGAACGGGUGAGUAACACGUGAGUAACCUGCCCUUGACUUUGGGAUAACUUCAGGAAACUGGGGCUAAUACCGGAUAGGAGCUCCUGCUGCAUGGUGGGGGUUGGAAAGUUUCGGCGGUUGGGGAUGGACUCGCGGCUUAUGAGCUUGUUGGUGGGGGAGUGGCUUACCCAGGCUUUGACGGGUAGCCGGCCUGCGAGGGUGACCGGCCACAUUGGGACUGAGAUACGGCCCAGACUCCUACGGGAGGCAGCAGUGGGAAUAUUGCACAAUGGGCGGAAGCCUGAUGCAGCAACGCCGCGUGCGGGAUGACGGCCUUCGGGUUGUAAACCGCUUUCGCCUGUGACGAAGCGUGAGUGACGGUAAUGGGUAAAGAAGCACCGGCUAACUACGUG
rnacentral:rRNA from 1 species